GUGAUGGUUAUGGCUAGGAUAUGAUCAGACAUCAACAGUUGAGUGGGUUAACAUUGCUUUCUAGUUAAAAUAGAGAGUCCAGAUAGGUAUAGUUGUGUUGGUACACUGUAAAGCUAUAGACCUAAGUUGGUGGCUGCCUGAUUGUGAAGCAAGAAUGCCUCAAGUUUUAAGGAAAUGUGAAAGAUUCUAUCAAAGGAGGGGGAAAUAACUAACUGGCCAACUCAUGCUUUUUGAAACCAAACCUUUAUGAUGCCAUUUGCACAUGCGCGUCAUCUGACAGGCAACAAGUCUUGGUUGUUGAUUCUCUCCUGUGCGUUCUGUGCAGUGAGAGCGGAUACUUCCAAUGGCUGUUGUACCUAUUGAUUGUAAUGUGCAUCUGAUAAUUCUCAUUCUCUUAGGCUUUCCUAUAUUGAAAGACUUGUUUUAAUGUGCAUUAAAUUUCUUUACAGGCUGAAUGGAUUAGAAGAGAUGGCCACUUCCUGACGGGUCACGUCUCUGGACGUCAUAACAUAACUGAGGCGGUGAUUCGGCUUAAUGCACUGAACUCCCAUGCUCAUAGUCGGCGCAUUGCCAUUGAUCACCAGAGCGUAAUUUUUUUUUUUAGUUUUCUACACCGUCACCAAGAGGUUAAGAUCCCUAAAUUUGACUAAGCAAUUCAAGUAUGAAGAUCCUACAACAGAGAUCUAACUUUGUAUUAAAUGAUCCCUAAAUGACUAAGCAAUUUACAUAUGAAGAUCCUAAAGCAGAGAUCUAACCAUGUAUUAAAUGGUGGUUGUGCAUUUUUUCUUCAGUGAACCUUAUGAACAUCACAUCAGUUAAGGCUGAAUGGAUUAGAAGAGAUGGCCACUUUAACCCCUUCCCGACGGGUCACGUUUCUGGACGUCAUAACAAACCGCUCGAAAUGUGGCAUGUGGCUGUAUUCCGUGGCGGCUCACCAAAGCGCUCUGAGGCGGUCAUUCAGCUUGAUGUACCGAACUCCCGCGCCCAAAGUUGGCGCCAGAGUGUAGUUUUUUUUUUCUACAACCAUCGCCAAGGGGUUAAGAUCCCAAAAUGACUAAGCAUUAAAAGUAUGAAGAUCCUGUGGCCUAGAUCCAACCUUGUAUAAAAUGGUGGUGGUGCAUUUUUUCUUCAGUGAACCUUAUGAACAUCACAUCAGUUAAGGCUGAAGAAAAUCUAUGCAAAAGUUGGGAGAACAUGACCAAUGAAAGGUCCCCAAAUAAAUAAGUAUUAGACGAAUGAAGAACCAGUCGGAGAAACCCAUAUUAUUGUAAAAUGGCUGAAUGUAAAUGAAUUCAACGUAAGAAUUGGAAGACAGCCAGUGAAAGAUCCCUAAAUGACUAAGCAAUUUACAUAUGAAGAUCCUAAAGCAGAGAUCUAACCUUGUAUUAAAUGGUGGUGGUGCAUUUUUUCUUCAGUGAACCUUAUGAACAUCACAUCAGUUAAGGCUGAAGAAAAUCUAUGCAAAAGUUGGGAGAACAUGACCAAUGAAAGAUCCCUAGAUGAAUAAGCAUUAGAAGAAUGAAGAACUUGGAGAGCAACUUUAUGUGAAAUGAAGGUGGUGUCUCUUCAGUGAACUUAUAGUCACAUGUCAGUUCAGGCAAAACAAAAUCUAUAUUUGAAAUACAUUCAAGUAAAAUUAGGUUUGGAAACCUAAUUUUGUGAUUUGCACACGUACAUAAUUUGACCGGCAAUUCUUGGUGGGUGCUUCUCUUCUGUGCCCUCCGAUACCAGAAUGGAAAAAUAUUGAAAAAUUAAGAUCAGUUCUGGAGAGGCAGACCAUGUAUAAAAAGAAAAUGGAUGUCUUCUCUUUGUUGUUUAUUGCAGUCCUUAGUAUUUUAAGAUUGGUGUGUGGCCAAAAGUAAGUGGAAUGUAAGUAUGGAAUGUUAUAAUCUGCUUUAUUGGGGGAAAGUUUUAGCAACUUCAGUGAUUUUGUAUUAAUUUUCCGAAAUUAUUGAUGUUUAUUAUUACAGUAACACAUUAUUGCUCUUUCAUGAUACAAUUAUUAACCAAUGACAGCCAUGUGGGUGUAUGUGUGGCAUGCAGCCACAUUAGCUUUGCAGCCACCCUGCCUGCUCAAGCCAUCAUGCCAGACAAAUACCAAGCAGGGCUGCUGGCUAAGUGUUGCUAUCUAUAAACAGUAUUGACUAGUGUCCCCCAUAUUGUUAACUAAAUGAUAAUUUUGGGGAGGAACUUAGCAUUGUUUAUAUAUAUAUAGGAGUAGCAUCAGCCUCCACCUAAAUUGUUUUAUAUGUAGAAGUCGAUAGGACGAGUGGAAGUAUAAGUAAGUUGAAGUGAUUUAUGAAUAUUUGAAUAUCCUUAUUUGGUAUUCUAUGUAAGGCUCAGUAGUUAAUUAAUAAACUAGCCAAAAGCAGUACAUUUCCCCAGAAUGCUGCAUUUUGAAUGUUCUAUUGUGAAACUGAUAGAAUGCCUUAUAUGAUGAUGAUUGAUUAAUAAAAAUAUGCAAAACUA